rnacentral:lncRNA from 1 species
GAAUGAUAUGAGUGUAUUUUAUAAGACAUAAGUUCGAGACAUUCACCAUCUUUAAAAAGUUCAAAAAUCUUGUGGAAAGACAAAGUGAGCACUACAUCAAAGUGCUAAGAAGUGAUAGAGGUGGUGAUACAACUCAAAUGAAUUUAAAAAAUUUUGUGAAGAUAUUGGUUUGCAAAGAUAAUUGACCGUUGCCUACACACCGAAAUAAAAUAGAGUUGUCGAAAAAAAAUCGUACUAUUUUUGAGAUGGC